rnacentral:rRNA from 1 species
UACGUAGGGGGCAAGCGUUGUCCGGAAUCAUUGGGCGUAAAGAGCGUGUAGGUGGCUCGGUAAGUCCGCUGUGAAAGUCCAGGGCUCAACCCUGGAAAGCCGGUGGAAACUGUCGAGCUCGAGUCCGGAAGAGGCGAGUGGAAUUCCUGGUGUAGCGGUGAAAUGCGCAGAUAUCAGGAGGAACACCAAUGGCGAAGGCAGCUCGCUGGGACGGUACUGACACUGAGACGCGAAAGCGCGGGGAGCAAACAGG